GAUGAACGCUGGCGGCGUGCCUAAUACAUGCAAGUCGAGCGAACAGACGAGGAGCUUGCUCCUCUGACGUUAGCGGCGGACGGGUGAGUAACACGUGGAUAACCUACCUAUACGACUGGGAUAACUUCGGGAAACCGGAGCUAAUACCGGAUAAUAUAUUGAACCGCAUGGUUCAAUAGUGAAAGACGGUUUUGCUGUCACUUAUAGAUGGAUCCGCGCCGCAUUAGCUAGUUGGUAAGGUAACGGCUUACCAAGGCAACGAUGCGUAGCCGACCUGAGAGGGUGAUCGGCCACACUGGAACUGAGACACGGUCCAGACUCCUACGGGAGGCAGCAGUAGGGAAUCUUCCGCAAUGGGCGAAAGCUUGACGGAGCAACGCCGCGUGAGUGAUGAAGGUCUUCGGAUCGUAAAACUCUGUUAUUAGGGAAGAACAAAUGUGUAAGUAACUAUGCACGUCUUGACGGUACCUAAUCAGAAAGCCACGGCUAACUACGUG
rnacentral:rRNA from 1 species